GAUGAACGCUGGCGGCGUGCUUAACACAUGCAAGUCGAACGAAGCAAUGAAGCAGAAGUUUCGGAUGGAAGCUUGAUUGACUUAGUGGCGGACGGGUGAGUAACGCGUGGGUAACCUGCCUUAUACAGGGGGAUAACAGUUGGAAACGGCUGCUAACACCGCAUAAGCGCACAGUAUCGCAUGAUACGGUGUGAAAAAAUUCAUUGGUAUAAGAUGGACCCGCGUCUGAUUAGCUUGUUGGUGAGGUAAAGGCCCACCAAGGCGACGAUCAGUAGCCGGCUUGAGAGAGUGACCGGCCACAUUGGGACUGAGACACGGCCCAAACUCCUACGGGAGGCAGCAGUGGGGAAUAUUGCACAAUGGGGGAAACCCUGAUGCAGCGACGCCGCGUGAGUGAAGAAGUAUUUCGGUAUGUAAAGCUCUAUCAGCAGGGACGAUAAUGACGGUACCUGACUAAGAAGCCCCGGCUAACUACGUG
rnacentral:rRNA from 1 species